rnacentral:misc_RNA from 1 species
GAUGAGAACGUAGCGAAAUGCGAUAAGUAAUGCGAAUUGCAGAAUUCAGUGAAUCAUCGAAUCUUUGAACGCACAUUGCGCCCGCUAGUAUUCUGGCGGGCAUGCCUGUCUGAGCGUCAUUUCAACCCUCGCCCCCGGCUUUUGCUGGGAGCGGUGUUGGGGAUCGGCCGCCCGUCACUGGGAGGCCGGCCCCGAAAUAGAGUGGCGACCACGCCGUGUGCUCCUCUGCGUAGUAGUAAAUCACCUCGCAGGCGGACAGCGGUGCGGCCUGCCGUAAAACCCCCAACUCUUUCUGGUUGACCUCAGAUCAGGUAGGAAUACCCGCUGAACUUAAGCAUAUCAAUAAGCGGAGGA